ACACAGAGAAAGCAGAGGCGGAUGCCGCAUGCCCCUGCUCUCAAUUCUCAGAAAUUUUAGGUCGUUCGAUGAAAACCAACCCUGCUGGAACGACUGCUCCUGGUUAAGAGCACUGGCUGCUCUUGCAGAGGACCUAGGUUUCCGUUCCGUUCCUACUUGGAACCUACUUGGCAGCGCACAGACACCGGUAACUCCAGAUCUAGGGGAUCCAGCGCCCUCCUCUGGCUUUGAUGGGCACUGCAUGCAGUAAUAUAUAUCGGUGAGCUUUUCCACCCAGCUACUUCGUUCCUAGAAUAACGAUUCUGAGUAUUAAUAAAUGCUUAGACCAU
rnacentral:lncRNA from 1 species